UCUCUGGUGUAGUUGGUAGCACCUUGGCUUAGUAAUCAUAAGCCCCAGGUUCAAGUCCCGGUCGGAGUGAAAAU